UUUUCAGUUAUGUAAAGCAUUCUUUAGUUCAGUUAACGAAUUUACUACUUCAUGACUUGACCAGGACUCAUUACUUUUUUUGAGUACAUUUGAAAAAGAUGACAUUCAUUCAAAUGCAUAUAAUUUGCAGGAUAUUUUUCUGUAGAUAAUUUGGAGAUGUUCUCUGUCAUCUUUUCAGAAUAUAUUUCUAUGCCUCGACUGUCAUUUCUUUAGUUUAGGCUGAAAAAAAAAGAAAAAAAGAAAGAGGAGUGACCAAAAUUGUCAUCUACAUAAUGUUUGCUUGGUAGCUUUGAAGUGUAUGAAACAGGAUUGAUUCUCACGGGAUGGUUUGACAUGGGUACCUCUGAAACAUCUGGUAUCACCUGGUACUCCCUGGAAAGGCCUGUGUGGGCUACUUCCAGCACCUCCCCCCCUACACAGGCGUUCAGCAUGCGGCACAGUGCUGGCUCCCCUCGGGUGCUAACCUGUCGUCUCUGGACCUGACCCGAGCCCUUGCUGCCUUAGCAGAGAGUGCCACCAGUGUGUGCCGUCCGUCUGAUGGGGACGUGGGUGUGUGGGGCAGCCUUUCGUUCCUGAAAUGCUCUAAGGCAUCUACUGCUGUCUCAUUAGUGAGUAAGAUGUAGACUUUAUUUGCAAAACCAUAGGAACUGGAUGCAUCAGAAGACAUUUUGAAAUAAAGGUGAUGUUGUUGAUUUUAAGUGUUUCACUAAGCAAGACCUUCCUUGACCACACAAAAUGACAGAGAAGAUAGCAAGGAACUUCCAUUGUUUACCUACAUGCCUGGCUUAAAAGCUAAAGGUGA